rnacentral:rRNA from 1 species
GACGAACGCUGGCGGCGUGCUUAACACAUGCAAGUCGAACGGAAAGGCCCUGCUUUUGUGGGGUGCUCGAGUGGCGAACGGGUGAGUAACACGUGAGUAACCUGCCCUUGACUUUGGGAUAACUUCAGGAAACUGGGGCUAAUACCGGAUAGGAGCUCCUGCUGCAUGGUGGGGGUUGGAAAGUUUCGGCGGUUGGGGAUGGACUCGCGGCUUAUCAGCUUGUUGGUGGGGUAGUGGCUUACCAAGGCUUUGACGGGUAGCCGGCCUGAGAGGGUGACCGGCCACAUGGGGACUGAGAUACGGACCAGACUCCUACGGGAGGCAGCAGUGGGGAAUAUUGCACAAUGGGCGGAAGCCUGAUGCAGCAACGCCGCGUGCGGGAUGACGGCCUUCGGGUUGUAAACCGCUUUCGCCUGUGACGAAGCGUGAGUGACUGUAAUGGGUAAAGAAGCACCGGCUAACUACGUG